GUUCUACACUGAUGCUGUGCUCUAGACUUACCACUUUCAGCAUGUUCCUGGCUGGCGGGGACACUUUUCUCCUGAAGGCGUUAUGGGGAACAGAAGAACAGCAUACACAACAGGAAACAUAAGUAGAACAAAGAAAGCACCACAAGAGAAAUGUGAAAGGAGAAGGCACAGAGAAGAGACAGUGCUGAGAAAGGCUGCGAAAUGUGUGAUCUUUCAGACUAUGAGAUCUCCCAUGAGGAAAGAUCAAAGAACAGCAACUAGAAGAUCUGCAGAAAGAAAUUUGAACAGCUAAAAUUAUCCCUCCUUCCCCAAGACUACGAUUUCUGGGAAUUGCUUUUCUUAUGUAAAGU
rnacentral:lncRNA from 1 species